CUUGAUGGACCCGAGCCACAGCGGACUGCCCUCCGGCCGGUCCUCACCGUAGGUGGCGAGCAGCGCCUGGGCCUC
rnacentral:antisense_RNA from 1 species